AACGAACGCUGGCGGCAUGCCUAACACAUGCAAGUCGAACGAAGCCUUCGGGCUUAGUGGCGCACGGGUGCGUAACGCGUGGGAAUCUGCCCUUAGGUACGGAAUAACUCAGGGAAACUUGAGCUAAUACCGUAUAAUGACUCCGGUCCAAAGAUUUAUCGCGUAAGGAUGAGCCCGCGUCGGAUCAGCGAGUUGGUGAGGUAAAGGCUCACCAAGGCGACGAGCCGUAGCUGGUCUGAGAGGAUGAUCAGCCACACUGGGACUGAGACACGGCCCAGACUCCUACGGGAGGCAGCAGUGGGGAAUAUUGGACAAUGGGCGCAAGCCUGAUCCAGCCAUGCCGCGUGAGUGAUGAAGGCCCUAGGGUUGUAAAGCUCUUUCACCGGUGAAGAUAAUGACGGUAACCGGAGAAGAAGCCCCGGCUAACUUCGUGCCAGCCGCCGCCGUAACAC
rnacentral:rRNA from 1 species